rnacentral:rRNA from 1 species
GUCUGUAUUGAAUAGUUUGAAAUUACUCAAGAGGGUGAAAAUACCUAUUAAUUAAUAAAAAGACGAGAAGACCCUAGAAAUUUUUUAUAAAAUAUAUAUAACUAUUAUUAUUUUGUUGGGGCGACAGAAUAACAAUUUAACUUAUUUUACUAUAUUAGAAUUUUUUAUAAUGGGAGAUUAAAUUACUCUAGGGAUAACAGCAUAAUUAUUUAAUAGUUUGUGACCUCGAUGUUGGACUAAGGAAGCUUUUAUUCAGAAGAUAAAAUAUCGUGUUCUGUUCGAACAACAUAACCUUACAUGAUCUGAGUUCG